rnacentral:misc_RNA from 1 species
GAUGAAAGAACGCAGCGAAAUGCGAUAAGUAAUGUGAAUUGCAGAAUUCAGUGAAUCAUCGAAUCUUUGAACGCACAUUGCGCCCCCUGGUAUUCCGGGGGGCAUGCCUGUCCGAGCGUCAUUACAACCCUCAAGCUCAGCUUGGUGUUGGGCCCCGCCGCCCCGGCGGGCCCUAAAGUCAGUGGCGGUGCCGUCCGGCUCCGAGCGUAGUAAUUCUUCUCGCUCUGGAGGUCCGGUCGUGUGCUCGCCAGCAACCCCCAAUUUUUUUCAGGUUGACCUCGGAUCAGGUAGGGAUACCCGCUGAACUUAAGCAUAUCAAUAAGCGGAGGA